rnacentral:rRNA from 1 species
GUAGGUGGCAAGCGUUGUCCGGAAUUAUUGGGCGUAAAGCGCGCGCAGGCGGUUCUUUAGGUCUGAUGUGAAAGCCCACGGCUCAACCGUGGAGGGUCAUUGGAAACUGGAGAACUUGAGUACAGAAGAGGAAAGCGGAAUUCCACGUGUAGCGGUGAAAUGCGUAGAGAUGUGGAGGAACACCAGUGGCGAAGGCGGCUUUCUGGUCUGUAACUGACGCUGAGGCGCGAAAGCGUGGGGAGCAAACAGGGAUUAGAUACCCUGGUAGUCCACGCCGUAAACGAUGAGUGCUAAGUGUUAGGGGGUUUCCGCCCCCUUAGUGCUGCAGCUAACGCAUUAAGCACUCCGCCCUGGGGAGUACGGCCGCAAGGCUG